GGGGAAUAUUGCACAAUGGGGGAAACCCUGAUGCAGCCAUGCCGCGUGUGUGAAGAAGGCCUUCGGGUUGUAAAGCACUUUCAGCGAGGAGGAAAGGUUGGUAGCUAAUAACUGCCAACUGUGACGUUACUCGCAGAAGAAGCACCGGCUAACUCCGUGCCAGCAGCCGCGGUAAUACGGAGGGUGCGAGCGUUAAUCGGAAUUACUGGGCGUAAAGCGCACGCAGGCGGUUGGAUAAGUUAGAUGUGAAAGCCCCGGGCUCAACCUGGGAAUUGCAUUUAAAACUGUCCAGCUAGAGUCUUGUAGAGGGGGGUAGAAUUCCAGGUGUAGCGGUGAAAUGCGUAGAGAUCUGGAGGAAUACCGGUGGCGAAGGCGGCCCCCUGGACAAAGACUGACGCUCAGGUGCGAAAGCGUGGGGAGCAAA
rnacentral:rRNA from 1 species